GGAUAUGCAUAUACAUGCAGUCGAACGCGUUGGCCCAAUUGAUUGAUGGUGCUUGCACCUGAUUGAUUUUGGUCGCCAACGAGUGGCGGACGGGUGAGUAACACGUAGGUAACCUGCCCAGAAGCGGGGGACAACAUUUGGAAACAGAUGCUAAUACCGCAUAACAGCGUUGUUCGCAUGAACAACGCUUAAAAGAUGGCUUCUCGCUAUCACUUCUGGAUGGACCUGCGGUGCAUUAGCUUGUUGGUGGGGUAACGGCCUACCAAGGCGAUGAUGCAUAGCCGAGUUGAGAGACUGAUCGGCCACAAUGGGACUGAGACACGGCCCAUACUCCUACGGGAGGCAGCAGUAGGGAAUCUUCCACAAUGGGCGCAAGCCUGAUGGAGCAACACCGCGUGAGUGAAGAAGGGUUUCGGCUCGUAAAGCUCUGUUGUUAAAGAAGAACACGUAUGAGAGUAACUGUUCAUACGUUGACGGUAUUUAACCAGAAAGUCACGGCUAACUACGUGCCAGCAGCCGCGGUAAUACGUAGGUGGCAAGCGUUAUCCGGAUUUAUUGGGCGUAAAGAGAGUGCAGGCGGUUUUCUAAGUCUGAUGUGAAAGCCUUCGGCUUAACCGGAGAAGUGCAUCGGAAACUGGAUAACUUGAGUGCAGAAGAGGGUAGUGGAACUCCAUGUGUAGCGGUGGAAUGCGUAGAUAUAUGGAAGAACACCAGUGGCGAAGGCGGCUACCUGGUCUGCAACUGACGCUGAGACUCGAAAGCAUGGGUAGCGAACAGGAUUAGAUACCCUGGUAGUCCAUGCCGUAAACGAUGAGUGCUAGGUGUUGGAGGGUUUCCGCCCUUCAGUGCCGGAGCUAACGCAUUAAGCACUCCGCCUGGGGAGUACGACCGCAAGGUUGAAACUCAAAGGAAUUGACGGGGGCCCGCACAAGCGGUGGAGCAUGUGGUUUAAUUCGAAGCUACGCGAAGAACCUUACCAGGUCUUGACAUCUUGCGCCAACCCUAGAGAUAGGGCGUUUCCUUCGGGAACGCAAUGACAGGUGGUGCAUGGUCGUCGUCAGCUCGUGUCGUGAGAUGUUGGGUUAAGUCCCGCAACGAGCGCAACCCUUGUUACUAGUUGCCAGCAUUAAGUUGGGCACUCUAGUGAGACUGCCGGUGACAAACCGGAGGAAGGUGGGGACGACGUCAGAUCAUCAUGCCCCUUAUGACCUGGGCUACACACGUGCUACAAUGGACGGUACAACGAGUCGCGAACUCGCGAGGGCAAGCAAAUCUCUUAAAACCGUUCUCAGUUCGGACUGCAGGCUGCAACUCGCCUGCACGAAGUCGGAAUCGCUAGUAAUCGCGGAUCAGCAUGCCGCGGUGAAUACGUUCCCGGGCCUUGUACACACCGCCCGUCACACCAUGAGAGUUUGUAACACCCAAAGUCGGUGGGGUAACC
rnacentral:rRNA from 1 species